rnacentral:rRNA from 1 species
CCUACGUGCGGCAGCAGUAGGGAAUAUUGCUCAAUGGGGGAAACCCUGAAGCAGCAACGCCGCGUGGAGGAUGAAGGUUUUCGGAUUGUAAACUCCUUUUGUUAGAGAAGAUAAUGACGGUAUCUAACGAAUAAGCACCGGCUAACUCCGUGCCCGCAGCCGCGGUAAUACGGAGGGUGCAAGCGUUACUCGGAAUCACUGGGCGUAAAGAGCGCGUAGGCGGGAUAGCAAUUCAGAUGUGAACUCCUAGGGCUUAACCAUAGAACUGCAUUUGAACCUGUUAUUCUAGAGUAUGGGAGAGGUAGGUGGAAUGCGUGGUGUAGGGGUAAAAUCCGUAGAGAUUGAGAGGAAUACUCAUUGCGAAGGCGACCUACUAGAACAGAACUGACGCUGAUGCGCGAAAGCGUGGGGAGCGAACAGGAUUAGAUACCCUUGUAGUC